rnacentral:rRNA from 1 species
UACGUAGGCAGCAAGCGUUGUUCGGAAUUACUGGGCGUAAAGCGUGCGCAGGCGGUGCUGUAAGACCGAUGUGAAAUCCCCGGGCUUAACCUGGGAACUGCAUUGGUGACUGCAGCGCUGGAGUAUGGCAGAGGGGGGUAGAAUUCCACGUGUAGCAGUGAAAUGCGUAGAGAUGUGGAGGAAUACCGAUGGCGAAGGCAGCCCCCUGGGAUAACACUGACGCUCAUGCACGAAAGCGUGGGGAGCAAACAGG